rnacentral:rRNA from 1 species
UACGGGGGGGGCAAGCGUUGUUCGGAAUUACUGGGCGUAAAGGGCUCGUAGGCGGCCAACUAAGUCAGACGUGAAAUCCCUCGGCUUAACCGGGGAACUGCGUCUGAUACUGGAUGGCUUGAAUCCGGGAGAGGGAUGCGGAAUUCCAGGUGUAGCGGUGAAAUGCGUAGAUAUCUGGAGGAACACCGGUGGCGAAGGCGGCAUCCUGGACCGGCAUUGACGCUGAGGAGCGAAAGCCAGGGGGGCAAACGGG